AACGAACGCUGGCGGCAUGCCUAACACAUGCAAGUCGAACGAGACCUUCGGGUCUAGUGGCGCACGGGUGCGUAACGCGUGGGAACCUGCCCUUAGGUUCGGAAUAACUCCCCGAAAGGGGUGCUAAUACCGGAUAAUGUCUUCGGACCAAAGACUUAUCGCCUUUGGAUGGGCCCGCGUUGGAUUAGCUAGUUGGUAGGGUAAAAGCCUACCAAGGCGACGAUCCAUAGCUGGUCUGAGAGGAUGAUCAGCCACACUGGGACUGGGACACGGCCCAGACUCCUACGGGAGGCAGCAGUGGGGAAUAUUGGACAAUGGGCGGAAGCCUGAUCCAGCACUGCCGCGUGAGUGAUGAAGGCCUUAGGGUUGUAAAGCUCUUUUACCCGGGAUGAUAAUGACAGUACCGGGAGAAUAAGCUCCGGCUAACUCCGUG
rnacentral:rRNA from 1 species